rnacentral:snRNA from 1 species
AUACUUACCUGGCAGGGGAGAUACCAUGAUCACGAAGGUGGUUUUCCCAGGGCGAGGCUUAUCCAUUGCACUCCGGAUGUGCUGACCCCUGUGAUUUCCCCAAAUGUGGGAAACUCGACUGCAUAAUUUGUGGUAGUGGGGGAAAAAACAAAAACAAAACAAAACAAAACAAAAACCCCCCC